UAGAGUUUGAUCCUGNCUCAGGACNAACGCUGGCGGCGUGCCUAAUACAUGCAAGUCGAACGCACUCUCGUUUAGAUUGAAGGAGCUUGCUCCUGAUUGAUAAACAUUUGAGUGAGUGGCGGACGGGUGAGUAACACGUGGGUAACCUGCCCUAAAGUGGGGGAUAACAUUUGGAAACAGAUGCUAAUACCGCAUAAAACCUAACACCGCAUGGUGUAGGGUUGAAAGAUGGUUUCGGCUAUCACUUUAGGAUGGACCCGCGGUGCAUUAGUUAGUUGGUGAGGUAAAGGCUCACCAAGANCCGUGAUGCAUAGCCGANCCUGAGAGGGUAAUCGGCCACA
rnacentral:rRNA from 2 species